UUCCAGCAUAAGUGCUUCCAUAUACAAAGCCUUGAUUACUUGGCUUUUCCUAAUCAACCUUCAGAAGUCACUCAAUGUUAAUUCUGUCAAUUCUAUUAGUAACAAGGGAGUUCCAAGCCCACCCGGUUUCAAAGGGAGGGAUCAUGGAUUUCACCUCUCAAUGAGAGGAAUGUCAUCGUGACAUUGUGGAAGAGAAUGUUGGAUGAGAAAUAUUGCUACUGCCAACUUUGGAAAAUACAAUCUGAAUCUGCCAUAGCCACUAAGAGAAAAACAAUGUCCUCAUAAUUUGUGCGUUUGUAAACUACGGAGUCCAGGGAUUUGUCUAAAGUCCCUCUGUUAGAGGCAGAGGUAGAAAGACAACAUAUAUCUCCUAAUUCCCUCUCAUUUUUUUUUUGUUUGUCAACAGGUUUCUAGAAGAAAAUUCAGGACCUAGAAACAGUUAAUAUAAGUUGUAUCCUUGGGAAUUUCCAAGCAUACCAAAUGACUACCAGGCAAGAGAAUGUUAAGCUAUACCAGACAAUUUAAUCACCUGCAUCCAGGAUAUGAAAUCCAGAAGUUUCAAUACUAUUAGCAGACUCUGACCAUCAGAAUUUUUUUUUUUUUAUACAACUUACAUUUCUCUCAUGAGAGUUUAAGUCUGCUUCCUUGUCUUAUACUCAGGGAAGAUGAAAGGCAGGUAACAUAUCCUGUAAAAUAAUUAACUGUAAGGUUGUUAAGUUAUUCUCCUGCCUUUGCUAUUGCAGUUUAAGUAAACAGUAAAUUAGUUUAAACUUUUCCUACAUCAUUACUUUAGUUAAUGAAUUCUAUUUCUUAGAGCAGUUUUAGAUUGAUAGAAAAAUUAAACAUAGAAUGCAGACAUUUCCCAUCAUCAAUUUAUUUCUAUUUAACUAAAUGGUUAAAAACUCUUAUUCUUUUGAAAACGUCACUAAGGAAUUUAUGUUGUCAAACAAUAAAGCCAUAUUUACUGAUACUGCAUGUAAGGGUUAUGACAACACAAAAGAUGCUGGGAAAAUGGAUGAGCACCUUCAAAUAAUAGUGCAUAAUGAUGUUGGACUAGCUGACAACAUUAAAGUCUGCAAAGGUAAAGGUUAGAAGAGACCUAAUGGCUUCUUCCUCUUUUUUUUUUUUUUUUUUGGCAACGGAGUCUUGCUCUGUCGCCCAGGCUGGAGUGCAGUGGCGUGAUCUCCGCUCACUGCAAGCUCCGCCUCUCAGGUUCAAGCAAUUCUCCUGCCUCAGCUUUUCGAAUAACUGGGAACUACAGUCGCACAUCGCCACACCCGGCUAAUUUUUUUUUGUAUUUUUAGUAGAGACAGAGUUUCACUGUGUUGCCCAUGCUGGUUUUGAACUCCUGAGCUCAAGCAAUCCACCCACCUCGGCCUCCCAAAGUGCUAGGAUUACAGGCGUGAGCCACCGCGCCUGGUCAGCUUCAUUUUUUUAGAAAGAUGUAAUUAUCCAUCUUUAUGUACAGCUGAGGGAAAAUAAAUUAUCUAUACCUACCGUUACUCAUAUUUCAUAAAAUGAGUUGAGACUGUAGAUAUAAUUUCUAAUCUACUCUAAUAUUAUGACAGAUAUUGGAAGGUAAAGGUUGCCAAAUAAAAGUAGUCCAUCAAGAUAUGUAUUUUUCAUGAUUAUGAACUUUUUCAGCAUACAUUUACAUUUAAUUAUGUAUGUACUGUGGAUGUAUUUUUCUUUCACAUAAAAUAAAUGCUCAGUAGAAUUUCUAUAAA